CCUACGGGAGGCAGCAGUGGGGAAUAUUGCACAAUGGACGAAAGCCUGAUGCAGCAACGCCGCGUGAAGGAAGACUGGUUUCGGCUCUUAAACUUCUAUCAACAUGGACGAAAGAUAUAACGGUACCUGAAUAAUAAGCCCCCGCUAACUACGUGCCAGCAGCCGCGGUAAUACGUAGGGGGCAAGCGUUAUCCGGAAUUACUGGGUGUACAGGGUGAGUAGGCGGCAUGGUAAGCCAGAUGUGAAAGCCUUGGGCUUAACCCGAGGAUUGCAUUUGGAACUAUCAAGCUAGAGUGCAGGAGAGGAAAGCGGAAUUCCUAGUGUAGCGGUGAAAUGCGUAGAUAUUAGGAAGAACACCAGUGGCGAAGGCGGCUUUCUGGACUGAAACUGACGCUGAGGCACGAAAGCGUGGGGAGCGAACAGGAUUAGAUACCCCAGUAGUC
rnacentral:rRNA from 1 species